UGGAGUCUCUUUGGCGGUGUGCCUGUGCUAUAGCGUUCCGUUCUGUCUGGUGUCCUACUCGUCAGUGUGCCUGAGCUAUAGCGUUCCGUUCUGUCUGGUGUCCCACUCGUCAGUGUGCCUGGGAUAUAGCGUUCCGUUCUGUCUGGUAUCCUACUCGUCAGUGUGCCUGGGGUAUAGCGUUCCGUUCUGUACUACUCGUCAGUGUGCCUGUGCUAUAGCGUUCCGUUCUGUCUGAUGUCCUACUCGUCAGUGUGCCUGUGCUAUAGCGUUCCGUUCUAUCCGGUAUCCUACUCGUCGGUGUGCCCGGGCCGCACAGCGCCGCAUACCUCGUGUUUAUUCUUCUGAUUGAGGUGCUGAUUUCGUAACGUUUCGAGCGUGAAAAGGUACAAAGUCCGAUUUUAAAUCCCCCUGUCAUGCUAUAUAGGCUUAGACUGGGAAAUGAUUUGUAUACUGCCACUCAUAAGGAUAUAUACUACCAAGAUCCAUUUGACUGAUGCAACUAGCUUCAGAAUAUUACAUUCUACUAUGAUCUGGAGCAAGGGCUGAUCAAUUCUGACUUUAAAACAACUGAGGCCUUUAUCGCCCUCCAUCGCUUCAUAAUGGUUAUAAUACUACACAGAUGACUGUACUUAUCUUCCGUAGCAGCACAUGCAUAUAUUAUACGAUUAAUAAAUAGGAGUGACUAAUAGAGCCAAGAUGGUGAAUGUUAGUGACUAUCUGUGGGUUUUCAUCAUCCUCGGACUGCUGCUGAUAGUAUGCUGCUGUGCAACCUGGAGUAGAAAAUUCCGAAACAAUUCCAAUGCAAAUCAGACUGCUGAAACCGGUCCACCCGGAACGGGUCAAACCAAUCCGAAUCGUGCCCGAAUACUUAACGUCGAAGCCACAUAUACGCUGCCGUCACCGGGUAUCCGGCCCAGUGAUUUUUCGCCUCCACCGCUUUACUUGGGCAGUGAACCUUCACCCUUUACUUUUGAAAAUGAAAUUGGUUCGGGACAUGGACUGACCAAUCAUGGACAAGACAGCAUUGAGCCUCCACCCUCAUAUGAUGACGUCAUCAAGGCGGAUUUUAGGCACACGUCGCGUAGUAGAACAAGAGAGAACGUCGAAACGGAAGACACGAAAUUAUGAGUAUGAUUAUGAAAGUAUAGGUGUUGCAACGACGCAUGUCAUCGGACGAGGAUACAUAGGUUUUAUAUAAAAUCACAAAAACUGUGCUAUGUCAGCGGUUGAAAGGUCAACAUUCAAUA